rnacentral:rRNA from 1 species
UACGGAAUGUGCAAACGUUAUUCGGAAUCACUGGGCUUAAAGAGUCCGUAGGCGGCUUGUUAGGUGAGGUGUGAAAUCCCUCGGCCCAACCGAGGAAUUGCGCUUCAAACCGGCAAGCUAGAGGAGGAUAGAGGUAGGCGGAACUGAUGGUGGAGCGGUGAAAUGCGUUGAUAUCAUCAGGAACACCGGAGGCGAAGGCGGUCCACUGGGUCCUUUCUGACGCUGAGGGACGAAAGCUAGGGGAGCGAACGGG